rnacentral:lncRNA from 1 species
GCUUAAUGCAGAAUAUUAUUCACCAUUAAUUUUCACGUGUUUCGAGUUUAAAAGUAAAAUGAUAAUCUUUUAAAAAAAAAGACGUUACUGUCAUUUCCGAUUACUGGGAAAGUUUAUGUCGGUACUUUAAUUUUUCCAAUCUAUUUUGCAUUUUCGAGUCAUCCCCAUCGAGAAUAGUUGGAACAAUAAAGCCAUCUCGGAUAGUCAUUAUAGUUAACGCUACAGAUAUCGACAGUGGAACUAACUACCGUCCAUUUGUUUCUCAGUAGUUAACAUUAACAAUACUGUCUUUAAAUGUCAAUCUGUUUAUCUACAUUUUGUCGUAAUUACGGUGCAGGUACGUUGCGACAAUGUUGAUUCGUAUUCGGUAGGAAAAUUGCUUCCUAGUGAACAGUUAGAGGAGUUUCUAAAUUCCUUUUAUGUUCGGAAGUGCGCAGUAAUAGAGGAAGACAAAUUACCAGGAUAUACUUACCCAUUUAAACAAACUUACACGCUAUUGGCACACUGGUAGAUAAACAAGCUUCUAAUUUAAGAGUAAUAUUAAAGAUAUAUUAUUCGGCAAACAUAGAUUUCCGAUGGUAGAUACGUAUUCACCAUUCGUUUUUUCCCCCGAACUGUUUAUUAUCCAGAUAAGUACUAAUUGUAAGCGGAAAGAAGACAUUCAAAUAUAUCUAAGGAGAAUACGGAUUAAAUUAUUCGUACAAUUCGGAGAAUUUCGAUGAAUAGCUUCGAGUAAAUUCCUCCUUUUCCGGAUUCCGAAAACAAAACAAACAUUUUCCCUGUCAAAAUGUCAUCCUGUUUACUGGCAAUUGUCUGGAAAGAGUAAGAGGAUUUAUAAUCAAUUUUUGAUGAAAAUUUAUCGCAUUCGAAUAUUUUAAUCACAGUUUACAUUUACAGUUGGAAUUCUGGCCGAAAUAUAGAUUUUUGCCUUUUAUGGUGGCUGUGCUCUUUUUUGCCAGAGCGACUCUCUUACGCGGUCUCCAAUGCGCUACUAUUAUGUUUUUUAUUUCCGAUUUCAUGGUACGCAAGUUUGAAUUUAAAAAUAUUUACUUCUAUUUUAUUGCUAUUUUUCAGAAGAAUAGUAUUUUAUCCCAUUCGAGAUUCGAUGAGAAAAAUCAAUGUCAAUUAUUCGCCUAUCAGAUAAAACCGAAUACGAUAUUUAUUAAUCGUAAUUAUUUUAUUGAAAAGUUUUCCAAAGACGACCGUGAC